UACAGAGGCCUCGAGCGUUAGGCGGAAUCACUGGGCUUAAAGCGCGUGUAGGCGGAUCGUUAAGUGUCUUGUGAAAUCCCACGGCUCAACCGUGGAACUGCUGGGCAUACGUGGCGAUCUUGGGCCGUCUAGGGGUUGCCGGAACAAGCGGUGGAGCGGUGAAAUGCGUAGAUAUCAGGAGGAACACCUGUGGCGAAAGCGGCUCACUGGACCAUAACUGACGCUGAUGCACGAAAGCGUGGGGAGCAAACAGG
rnacentral:rRNA from 1 species